rnacentral:rRNA from 1 species
CUACGUAGGUGGCAAGCGUUAUCCGGAAUUAUUGGGCGUAAAGGGUGCGUAGGCGGCGAGAUAAGUCUGAGGUAAAAGCCCGUGGCUCAACCACGGUAAGCCUUGGAAACUGUCUGGCUGGAGUGCAGGAGAGGACACUGGAAUUCCAUGUGUAGCGGUAAAAUGCGUAGAUAUAUGGAGGAACACCAGUGGCGAAGGCGGUUGUCUGGCCUGUAACUGACGCUGAAGCACGAAAGCGUGGGGAGCAAAUAGGAUUAGAUCCCCUAGUAGUCCACGCCGUAAACGAUGAGAACUAAGUGUUGGGGAAACUCAGUGCUGCAGUUAACGCAAUAAGUUCUCCGCCUGGGGAGUAUGCACGCAAGUGUGAAACUCAAAUGAAUUGGCGGGG